rnacentral:rRNA from 1 species
UACGGAGGGGCUAGCGUUAGGUUCGGAAUUACUGGGCGUAAAGCGCACGUAGGCGGCUUUGCAAGUCAGAGGUGAAAGCCCGGGGCUCAACCCGGAAUUGCCUUUGAGACUGCAUCGCUAGAAUUGUGGAGAGGUAAGUGGAAUUCCGAGUGGUAGAGGUGAAAUUCGUAGAUAUUCGGAAGAACACCAGUGGCGAAGGCGACUUACUGGACACAUAUUGACGCUGAGGUGCGAAAGCGUGGGGAGCAACAGGG